UCAAAUGUUGGUUGCCAUGGAGAAGUCUAUUAACCUAAUGUAAAUCUCAACAACAAAUAUUUCAUUCUUCGACUUUGUAGACAUUGCGUCUUCUGAAGACAUCAGCAACCUGAAGAAAGAAAAACUCUAUUUCCUCUGUUUCCAUCACCAAAAAUGUUUGACAGACCAUCAGACCUCCAUGAGCACAACUACUGUAAAAAAGAGUUGGAGCCUGGGAAAGAGACUCCUCCCCCUCCUGCAGCUGCUCCUCUCUUAACUACCACCAGCUGUCGUCACUGAGCUCAUCACCCUCUGCAGCUCAAAAGGAGAUCCAGCUCCACCAUUCAACGCCAGUUCGUUGCCUAUAAUGGUGACUCGUCUGGAAUUCCAUCCACGAGUGACGUCAGUGUGGACCUACUACCUUACAGUCUUGAAGAACUGGAAGACCACUCGGACUACGCCGACCGCGUUUGUACCUCCAGCCACGCCACAAGCCCUUGGCUGUUCCGGACCUUGCCAUGCCAAAAUCAUAACCAUCUCUGGAGGAAUAAUAAAUCAUUCUUACCUGUCCUCAUUCUGGGUUCCAGCACCUGGGUUCUCCUCGCUUGGAGAUCAUGACAGUUUGUGCUUUACAUCCUGAA